CGUACAGGCACUUCGUUGUAUCUCGGAGUGACGAAGUGUAGGUGUUGCAGUGCGGGAGUAGUACGUUUGUCAACAGUUGAUGAAGAAGACAAGCAUGAUAGGUAGCUAGAGAAAGGGCCCCAUGAAAGGACUGUGGUUGUACAGGAGAUGCAUAAGUACAGUGCGCAGCAGAGAGGCAACAACAAGCCAGUGACCCCUCCCCCGAAAGGCAUUGGAGGGAGGGCAUCCCAGUGUCGACGAGAGCCCACCUGGCAAGACAGCAAGGGUGGACAGUAUCAAGCCUUCUUGGUCACCCUCACGCCCCUGAGCCAGGGUACACCUAAUCAU
ensembl:lncRNA